rnacentral:lncRNA from 1 species
AAGGGUUUUCCAAACUGGGUGAAAAGUCAUAAUAAGCCUAAUCUGUGUCAGAGUUCAGCUCCUGAUCAGGCUCUGAAGCCAUGGCUGGCUGGGGUAUAACAACCUUGCAGUUUGAAAGUAGAUCAAUAGGUACCACUCCAGCUGGAAGGUAGCAGUACUCAUGCUGGCCACAUGACCUUGGAAGUGUCUACGGGCAACGUUGGCUCUUUGGUUUGGAAAUGGAGAUGAGCACCAACCCCCAGAAUCAGACACGACUAGACUUAAUGUCAGAGGAAAACCUUUACCUUUACCUAAGCUGACUGGAAUUCCCAGGACUUCAUGACAAACUAGUAAUAACUGUAGUUCAAUCAAAUUGCUUUCUUUUUAGUUACCACCUCACUAACCUGAUGCUCCUGAAGUUCAAUUUCCUAACAGAUCAUUAACUAACCCCUUCCUUAUAACUACAUGAAUUAAUGGUGGUGGAAUCCAGAGAGGUUCAUUGAAUGAACUACCUACUUUGGCAGUUAUUUCCUAAUAGCUGAGAAUGCCUUUUAUUUCAAUGUGUACCUACAUCCAUCAACUGUACAAUGAACUGAAAGACAAAGCUUUAAAGGGGAACCGCCCCCCUCAAUAAUGUUUGAUUCACAGGUGCUAUGGGAUAGAAGAAUUAGCAUUUUCUGGUUGGUAAUCCAAGAAAGAGGCCUCUCUUAUUGGAGUGUAUAAAUAAGCUUAUUUAAAGCCCAUGAAAUUGGAACUGCCUCAGAUGUCGGGAAUUAGAAGAUUAGCUUCGCUGUGAUUCUGGUUUUUCCGCCUACAUUAUGAGUCCUGCAGGUGUUUUGGACUCAAAAACCUUGGAUCAAGGAUUCUGGGAGCUAAGGUUCGAAACAUUUAGAAGAUGAGAAUUUGGGGAACACUAUGGGUAAUGAAACUGCUGCAAUAUAAGAAGGAACACUGACCCAGUUGCCUUAGGGCUCAUCCAGACAGUACCUUUAUCCCAGGAGCUCCCACAACAAACAGGAGGGUGGCUAGACACCGUUCCCUGUAAACCCGGAAGCAACUGCUACAAAAGGCAAAAACCGCAAGAUUUCCAGCCGCAGGGAGAGUUGGAUAAUAAAUUCGUCGUCGUCAUCAUCGUCGUCAUCAUCAUCAUCAGGUCUUAUCAAGCACAUACAGCAUCAAAAGGUGUUUAUUGCUUUCUGAACUCUUUAUUGUGUGUGUUGGACCUUUAAAAGUCAGGUGCUUAGAGGAGGCCUGUAAAAGUCAGCCGCAUGUGGACUGAAGUGAGGAGUAGAAAAAUGGGCUCACCUGAACCAGAACGGUUGAAGUUUCUUAACCUCUCCAUCAGGAAAAGUUGAUAUUGGCACCUAGCCAAGGGAAAACACAGAAUUUCAGUGACAAGGGCGUUAACAGCAACUCCCAGGUAAUUUCCUUGUUCAAGAGCAGCACAAGCAACCAUCUGAGAUCAAAAUUAUUCUCUCUCUCAUUCACAAACUGCAUCUCCAAUGGCUUAUACAUAGAUAACCUGGCCAGCUCAACUAGCACCAAGAAAAAAAAACCCCUCACGUUUUAUUUUAUUACUGGAAAGAUCAUAAUUAAUGGAUCCAUUAUGGAUCUGCCCUGACCUGGAUACAAUUGAGGCAUGGAAUGGAUUGAAACUGUGUGUACAUGUGUGUCUGUGUACACAUCAAAAUUCAAUUACAACUCAGGUCUGAUGCUUGUGUAAGUUGUGUAAACAAGGGAAAAUCUACUCAGUUGGGAGAAAUGUCUUGAGAUGAACAGAACUGGUGGUGCCUUAGGUGAAAAUAAGGCUUAAGUGAGAUUAUAAGGGAAGCCCAUGGUAGAUCUGAGGCUGAGGCAAGGUUAGAGGCUGAGCGGGUUAGAGCAAUACAAACUUCUGA